UAUGGCCACAUCAUGUUGAAACACUAGUUCUUGUAUGAUCACCGAAGUUAAGCAAUGUCGAGCCUGGUCAGUACCUAGAUGGGUGACUGCUUGGAAAUACCAGGUGCUAU